rnacentral:lncRNA from 1 species
CAUGAGUCAACAGAAUCUGGCUGUUGUGAAAAUGUUGAAUGUCAACACAGUGUUUACACAGAACUGUAACUUAUAAAGUGUAUGAAGCAAUCAUUCAGCUGCACUCAGCACUAGUAAGGCCUCAGAUAGACCAGUGUGUCAAAUGUUGAGCAAUUUGCUUCCUCUUCAAGGGAAAUGUGGUGCAGCUGGACAGCAGCCAAGCAGAGAGAAUCAAGCAGAGAGAAUUGGAAGAACCUGUCCCGUCCUCACAGAUUAUGUGGUAUUCAGUGUGAACAUUAGGAGACCAAAGAGAACACAGAAAUUAAGUUUUCUGGUGAAGAGAGGUUGGACCUCAAAAGGAAAGUGAACUGAGGCUUUGAUUAGAAGAGCCACAGAAAAAGAAAUGAAGAAUGAUUGUGGAGAGCCAUAAGUAUAUGUUGAAAACUUACAGGGUAACUGCUGCCAAGCAGGUUGUGAUACAUUUUAAAUUCCAGAUAUAGAUAGACUUGCAUGUGCACAUGCAAAACACACUUGUUUCUAUAUAACUUUUAAAAGGUAGGAAAUGCAAGAAACCCUCAAAAGCACAAAUUUGUGAUAAGUGGCAAAUGUUCUACUUGAGCAACUGCUUUACCCCUUGGCAUGAUCAUAGAGAAUUGAUUCUGCUCUCUUAAAAACAACAGCUGUUCACUGCUGAAGGCUAUUUCAGCUCAAUCAGUACUGGUGCACUGGCCACAAAAGCCAGAAACAAAGGCGACCAGGCACCAAAUUCUCUCAAAUGUACAAAGAAAACAAUAUCAGAAAUGGGUGGUGUUACUGAAAAUAGCAAGCAUGGUCUUUUCAGGAAAAUAGGAUUUGUGAGGUAAAGGUUGCUUGGCAGUGAGUCAGAGGAGCUUCUCCUUGGCAUCUGCAGCAUCUGUCUUUUCUUUAGGCAGUGACAUUUCAUGGCAGGAACAGGUGUAGAUAAGAGUAGUGUUUUAGGGCUUGUGCUGAUAGCACAAAAUGAGCAGAAACAUCAGAACAGGCAGGAAAAAAAUACAGAAAAAGGCCAUACAAAAAUGAAACACAUUUCAUGCCUGAAAGGCUGGACUUUCAAGUGUGGAUGAAGCCACAAGUGAUGUGGCAUACCGCUCCAAGCAUCUUCUCCAGUUACUCCUGGCUGGCAUAAGAUCAGGAGUGCAAAGCACCACUUAGUGCUGAAUUUGGCUAAACUGAACACUGGGUGAGGUGGAAGGAACUGCAGAACAAAUUCUUUAUUAUUCUAUUCUGUAUUCACCCCAUCAGUGUGAUUCCCUGCUGUGGGGCAGGAGCUGGUGUGGAAAGGCAUCUCUCCAGAGAGGGC